UCACACGUGCCAGCACAGUAAGAUUGAAUAGUCAACCCUGUUAAUUACCAUUUACUCUCUGUCGAUAUUGGGAAUUUGAGUCUCGAGCAUCUGGCACAUCCAUCACAAGAAUUGACCAAGUGCCCACAUAAAAUAUAUAAAGGUAUACUAGUGAUUUGCCCUUCAAUUUAUACUUAAUUUUUAAUUAAUUUUUUUUUUUUUUAAAAAAAAUUUAAGGAUAUGAACCUUUUUUUUUCUCCAAUUUUUCCCCUACCAUCUAAAUUCUCAAUAUUUCAUCUAAUUUUCAAUUAAAUUAUUUCAAAAUUUGAAGAAAAAGAAGAAAAUUGACCCCCAAAAAAAAAAAGACAUUGAACCAGCAACCCUAUCGCCCCCUCCCCUAGCUCUAUCUCCUACAGCACAUCAACCCCAUCACAACCCAGCCAAAGUACCCUAAAACCCAGCAACAACCAAAAAAAAAAAAAACCAAGAAAGUCCCCAAAUUGAAUGAGUCUUUGUUUGAGAAAGGCAUGAAAGUGCUGAUAUGGACAGCUAAUCUUAAUUUGCAAAAUUUGAACUUUUCAGGUGGGGGCAAUUGGAGGAGGAACACAACUUGCAUCUCAGUCAGCUUGCUUGAACCUACUGGGUAUGAAGGGUGCGAACAGAGAGUCCCCCGGUGCAAACGCAAGGUAAUUGGCCAGAAUCGUAGCCGGUGCUGUCCUGGCAGGGGAGGUUUCUCUUCUGGCAGCCAUCGAUACUGACCAGCUUAUGACCAGCCACAUGGAAUACAACUGAUCUAGCAGGGAUGUCAUACACCUUGCCUCCACAGAAUAGACUAAACCAACCCCAUUGAAUCUUGACCAUAUGGGCCUACUAAAAAGGAAAUUGAGGGAAAAAAUCAAGCAGAAUCAAAUAAGCUCACCAAGGGACACUGUUGAUUGGUGGGGUUGGAGGAAGAAUAUGGUGGGUUCCUGAUGUCACAUGGCAGCAGAGCCACUAACCCAGCUGCCGACGACGAAGAUCAAGACCCAUCAUGCCUAGACCUCAAGAGGGCUGCCAAUGCAGACGCCGGCAACCUCCUCCGCAGGUGGCACCACUCCCGCAUCAUCCGCGUCUCAAGGGCCUCUGGUGGUAAAGAUCGGCACAGCAAGGUGUGCAAUCUAAGAGAAAGCGCCAUUCUUGAUAGUUUUUGUUUGCACACAGAAAAAGAGAGAGAGAGAGAGAGAG